rnacentral:lncRNA from 1 species
CAACGGCAUCCCGCCGAUAAGCUUUGCUCCCAAAUCGACUCGCAUUCCUGUUGCUUAAAACGACAGGAGCACCUGUCUCGUCCAGAUGCACGCCAGAUAAAAAUCUCGGACGCCGAUGCUAACUGUACCGUUCCCUCCCCACCGCUGGCUGCCUGGGGGAAGCACCAAGAGCCCACCUUUGGGACAAGGCCAAAGGGCGAACUCAGCUCUGGAGUGAAGGCAGGAACCUCUGUCAGCUCGGUGCAGCAACGAGCAGCUCAGUGCAGACCCCAGGAUCCCGGAGCUCGCUGUUGAGAGUGAGGUAUAAAGAAACAGCUCCCUCUGGGAACAACAAGUCAGCCCUGCCAGUGUCCUCUACCGUCACUGCAUGUCAGUGAGUGCCAUUCCGGGACCAUUUACUGGAAGCCAAAGAACAGCAGAAUUGCUGCCAUCUCACCUUCCAACAAGGCAGAGCUCUGAGGUUUUUCUGUAGUGAGAUGACUACCUA